GGCUGCAGUUAUUUCGCGAAGCAGUACAUGGUUGCUACCGAUAUACUUUGUAGUGUCCCUGGGAUGCUAUGGUCUAUUAAUAGUUUGAAUUAGUCUAAUGCAGUUCCUACCUGUCCUACAGAUGCAUUCUCUUGCAGCAUGGACUUUCUUUACCCUUUUCUUAAGAGCAGUUCUCUUGCAGCAUGUACUUAACCUUUUUCUUUCGUUGUUAACCUUGAAUUCUCAAAGCUUAUUAGGGUAUAAUUUAGUUCUUUGCAGAAUAUUACAGAGGCAAGCUAAGAGACUUCUUAAGCGUUAAUAGAGCAUUAACCUCUCACCUACCUAACAAUUGUAUUAUAAUAUUGUAUGUGGGAGAUGUACUUUGAGAAAUCAGGGUUAGCAAUUGGAAUUUUUAGGGCUUUAAAUAUGAGCUGAACAAGAAACUCUUCAAACACAUUCAUUUGUGUC